rnacentral:rRNA from 1 species
CAUGCAAGUCGAGCGACGUGUUCCCGCAAGGGAAUUACGAGCGGCAAACGGGUGAGUAACACAUUGGUAACCUACCUCCAAGUCGAGGACAGCUCGCCGAAAGGCGAAUUAAUACUCGAUGGCAAUGCGGGGACAUAAGUCAUUCGCAUUUAAAGAUUUAUUGCUUGGAGAGGGGCCUAUGUCUGAUUAGCUAGUUGGCGGGGUAAAAGCCCACCAAGGCGAUGAUCAGUAGCAGGCGUGAGAGCGUGACCUGCCUCACUGGGACUGAGACACUGCCCAGACACCUACGGGUGGCUGCAGUCAAGAAUCUUCCCCAAUGGACGAAAGUCUGAGGGAGCGACGCCGCGUGCAGGAUUAAGGCCUUCGGGUCGUAAACUGCUUUUAUAUGGGACGAAUUCGUGACGGUACCAUAUGAAUAAGAGGUUGCUAACUCUGUGCCAGCAGCAGCGGUAAUACAGAGACCUCAAGCGUUAUCCGGAUUUAUUGGGCGUAAAGCGUCCGCAGGUGGUUUAGCGGGUUAGAGGUAAAAACUCUGCGCUCAACGCAGAGUCGGCUUUUAAAACUACUAAACUAGAGGAUGGAAGAGGUAAGCAGAAUUGCUGGUGUAGUCGUAAUAAGCGUUGAUAUCAGCAAGAAUACCAAAGGCGAAGGCAGCUUACUAUUACAUUCCUGACACUCAGGGACUAAAGCGUGGGGAGCAAACAGGAUUAGAUACCCUGGUAGUCCACGCCCUAAACUAUGUGCACUAGGUAUUGGCAGUAUCGACCCUGUCAGUGCCGUUGAAAAAAGCUAACGCGUUAAGUGCACCGCCUGGGGAGUACGGUCGCAAGGCUAAAACUCAAAGAAAUAGACGGGGACCCGCACAAGCGGUGGAUUAUGUGGUUUAAUUCGAUAACAAACGGUUAACCUUACCUGGGCUCAACUACUAGCUGCAUGUCGCCAGAAAUGGCUUCAGCCUUCGAGGGUGCUAGAUAGGUGCUGCAUGGUUGCCGUCAGCUCGUGCCGUGAGGUAUACCAUUAAGUUGGAAAACGAGCGCAACCCACGUCGCGUGUUAAAUGUACGCGCGAGACCGCCCCCCACCUAGCGCAUUUUUUAAAAAAAGUGCGUUGAGUGGGGGGAGGAAGGGGUGGACGACGUCAAAUCAGCAUGGCUCUUACGUCCAGGGCUACACACAUAAUACAAUGGCCGGUACAGAGGGCUGCCAAGUCGCGAGACGGAGCUAAUCCCUUAAAACCGGCCCCAGUUCAGAUUGAAGGCUGCAACUCGCCUUCAUGAAGUCGGAAUCGCUAGUAAACGCGCAUCAGCCACGGCGCGUUGAAUACGUUCUCGGGUCUUGUACUCACCGCCCGUCACACCACGGGAGUUGGCAAUGCACGAAAUC